UACGUAGGGAGCAAGCGUUGUCCGGAAUCAUUGGGCGUAAAGAGCGUGUAGGCGGCCCGGUAAGUCCGCUGUGAAAGUCGGGGGCUCAACCCUCGAAUGCCGGUGGAUACUGUCGGGCUAGAGUGCGGAAGAGGCGAGUGGAAUUCCUGGUGUAGCGGUGAAAUGCGCAGAUAUCAGGAGGAACACCGAUUGCGAAGGCAGCUCGCUGGGACGUCACUGACGCUGAGACGCGAAAGCGUGGGGAGCAAACAGG
rnacentral:rRNA from 1 species